GACUAACGCUGGCGGCGCGCCUAACACAUGCAAGUCGAACGGACGUAGCAAUACGUGAGUGGCGGACGGGUGAGUAACGCGUGGGAACCUGCCCGGAAGUGAGGAAUAACCGAGGGAAACUUCGGCUAAUACCGCAUAUGCCCUGAGGGGCAAAGGCUUCGGCCGCUUCCGGAGGGGCCCGCGUCCGAUAGCUAGUUGGUGGGGUAACGGCCGUACCAAGGCAGUGAUCGGUAGCUGGUCUGAGAGGACGAUCAGCCACACUGGGACUGAGACACGGCCCAGACUCCUACGGGAGGCAGCAGUGGGGAA
rnacentral:rRNA from 1 species